rnacentral:ncRNA from 1 species
UUCUUCUUUUAAAGUUAAUUCUAGCUUUUAUAUUAAAUAAUAUUUUAUUUAUAUAUAAAUUUUUGUGUUAUUUAAUUAAAAUUUAAUAUUUUUAUUAAAUAUUAUCUUAAUAUUUAAAAUUAUAUUUUAUUGAAAAAUAAUUAUAGUAAAAUUUAAUUAUCAACAAAUUUUGUGCCAGCAGUUGCGGUUAUACAAAAGAUAUUUAAUAUAUAAUUAAGAUUUAUAUGUAUUUAUUUUUUAAAAAAUUAAAUUUAGAUAAAAUUAUUUUUUUUUAUAAGAGAUUAUUAUUUAAAUUAUUAAAUUAAACUAUAAACUAGGAUUAGAUACCCUAUUAUUUUAAAGUAAAUUUUUAAAGAUUAACUAUUUUGGUGAAAUUUAAAGAAUUUGGCAGUAUUUAAAUCAAUUUAGAGGAACUUGUAAUAUAAUUGAUAAUACACGAUUUAAAGUACUAAAAUUAAUUUAAUUUAUAUAUUAUUGUUAAAAAUAUUUUUUCAGGGAAUAAAUCUAAUUAUAUAAUUUUAUAAAUAUAUCAAAUCAAGAUAUAGUUGAUAUUUUAGAAUAGAUGAGUUAUAAUUAAGAUUUUAAUGGAUUAAUUAAUUAAAUCUUAUGAAUUUAGAUUUAAAAGUAAUAAAAUUAAUUUGAUUUUUAUGAUUAAAGUUUUUGAAUAUGCACAUAUUGCCCGUCAUUUUUAAUUAUAUAAAAAAAGUCGAAACAUAGUUAAAGUAUUGGAAAAUGUUUUUAGAA